AACGAACGCUGGCGGCAGGCCUAACACAUGCAAGUCGAGCGAGGACUUCGGUCCUAGCGGCGGACGGGUGAGUAACGCGUGGGAACGUGCCCUUUGCUACGGAAUAGCCCUGGGAAACUGGGAGUAAUACCGUAUGUGCCCGAGAGGGGAAAGAUUUAUCGGCAAAGGAUCGGCCCGCGUUGGAUUAGGUAGUUGGUGGGGUAAUGGCCUACCAAGCCGACGAUCCAUAGCUGGUUUGAGAGGAUGAUCAGCCACACUGGGACUGAGACACGGCCCAGACUCCUACGGGAGGCAGCAGUGGGGAAUCUUAGACAAUGGGCGCAAGCCUGAUCUAGCCAUGCCGCGUGAGCGAUGAAGGCCUUAGGGUUGUAAAGCUCUUUCAGUGGGGAAGAUAAUGACGGUACCCACAGAAGAAGCCCCGGCUAACUCCGUGCCAGCCGCCGCGGUAAAAC
rnacentral:rRNA from 1 species